rnacentral:rRNA from 1 species
UACGUAGGGGGCAAGCGUUGUCCGGAAUUAUUGGGCGUAAAGAGCGUGUAGGCGGUCCGGUAAGUCAGCUGUGAAAGUCAAGGGCUCAACCCUUGAAUGCCGGUUAAUACUGUCGGGCUAGAGUCCGGAAGAGGCGAGUGGAAUUCCCGGUGUAGCGGUGAAAUGCGCAGAUAUCAGGAGGAACACCGGUGGCGAAGGCGGGUCUCUGGGCCGAUACUGACGCUGAGGAGCGAAAGCGUGGGGAGCAAACGGG